UUUUAUGGAGAGUUUGAUCCUGGCUCAGGGUGAACGCUGGCGGCGUGCCUAAUACAUGCAAGUCGAGCGAACGGACGAGAAGCUUGCUUCUCUGAUGUUAGCGGCGGACGGGUGAGUAACACGUGGAUAACCUACCUAUAAGACUGGGAUAACUUCGGGAAACCGGAGCUAAUACCGGAUAAUAUUUUGAACCGCAUGGUUCAAAAGUGAAAGACGGUCUUGCUGUCACUUAUAGAUGGAUCCGCGCUGCAUUAGCUAGUUGGUAAGGUAACGGCUUACCAAGGCAACGAUGCAUAGCCGACCUGAGAGGGUGAUCGGCCACACUGGAACUGAGACACGGUCCAGACUCCUACGGGAGGCAGCAGUAGGGAAUCUUCCGCAAUGGGCGAAAGCCUGACGGAGCAACGCCGCGUGAGUGAUGAAGGUCUUCGGAUCGUAAAACUCUGUUAUUAGGGAAGAACAUAUGUGUAAGUAACUGUGCACAUCUUGACGGUACCUAAUCAGAAAGCCACGGCUAACUACGUGCCAGCAGCCGCGGUAAUACGUAGGUGGCAAGCGUUAUCCGGAAUUAUUGGGCGUAAAGCGCGCGUAGGCGGUUUUUUAAGUCUGAUGUGAAAGCCCACGGCUCAACCGUGGAGGGUCAUUGGAAACUGGAAAACUUGAGUGCAGAAGAGGAAAGUGGAAUUCCAUGUGUAGCGGUGAAAUGCGCAGAGAUAUGGAGGAACACCAGUGGCGAAGGCGACUUUCUGGUCUGUAACUGACGCUGAUGUGCGAAAGCGUGGGGAUCAAACAGGAUUAGAUACCCUGGUAGUCCACGCCGUAAACGAUGAGUGCUAAGUGUUAGGGGGUUUCCGCCCCUUAGUGCUGCAGCUAACGCAUUAAGCACUCCGCCUGGGGAGUACGACCGCAAGGUUGAAACUCAAAGGAAUUGACGGGGACCCGCACAAGCGGUGGAGCAUGUGGUUUAAUUCGAAGCAACGCGAAGAACCUUACCAAAUCUUGACAUCCUUUGACAACUCUAGAGAUAGAGCCUUCCCCUUCGGGGGACAAAGUGACAGGUGGUGCAUGGUUGUCGUCAGCUCGUGUCGUGAGAUGU
rnacentral:rRNA from 2 species